AUCCAGUCUCUCAUUUUGCCUUAUCCUCCCAUGGCGACCAAGCCAAGCUCCACUCGACGUUUUCUCGGUGUGAGGGUGCGACGACAAUGUGUGGUGCACGGAUCCCGGUCAUUCCCCGGCGAUUUUUCUUCAGAUAUUUGGUGUCUGGGGAGGCGGAAUGGGGCUCGAGAUGGUGUAGAUGGCCGGCGAGAUCUGGGACACCAUCCUGGUGGUGGCGAUGACGAUGGUGUGGCAUUGGCGGCCAAGGUGCAGGAUGGCGGCGGAGGCUACGGUGUUCGCCGUCGAUGAUUGAUAGGAGGAGGCGGAGGAGGUGCAAAUGCGCGCUAGGCACAGAGGCGCUCCGUUCCGUCGACGCGUGGGGAGGACCACGCAAUCCCUCAUUGGCCUUCCGGCGAUGUGCGUUCACUGGGAGGAGACGUUCCCGUCGACUACGAAGGCGUCUAUGACGACUUCGUCAAUAUCAAGAUGACGUGCCGGCUCAGUCUCAGAGGUGCUUAUAAGAUGCAGGGAUCUACUAGUACUACUAUUUGCUCGAAAUGGUCAAAGACACAACGACGCAGGGCCGCUCCUAACAUUAGUAGUUUCAUCAUCCAGCUUGGCUUUCAGGGGUGUCGCUACUCACUACACAAGACA